CAGCCGCCGCGGUAAUACGUAGGGUCCGAGCGUUGUCCGGAAUUAUUGGGCGUAAAGGGCUUGUAGGCGGUUUGUCACGUCGGAAGUGAAAACUCAGGGCUUAACCCUGAGCCUGCUUCCGAUACGGGCAAACUAGAGGAAUGCAGGGGAGAAUGGAAUUCCUGGUGGAGCGGUGGAAUGCGCAGAUAUCAGGAGGAACACCGGUGGCGAAGGCGGUUCUCUGGGCAUUUCCUGACGCUGAGAAGCGAAAGCGUGGGGAGCAAACAGGCUUAGAUACCCUGGUAGUCCACGCCGUAAACGGUGGGCACUAGGUGUGGGGAACAUUCCACGUUCUCCGUGCCGAAGCUAACGCUUUAAGUGCCCCGCCUGGGGAGUACGGCCGCAAGGCUAAAACUCAAAGGAAUUGACGG
rnacentral:rRNA from 1 species